CCCUGUUCCGCUCCCCUGAGCCCCGCCAGACCCCGCUCCGCCCGCGCCCCGCUCCAUUGCCGAGGCUCCCGCAGCCCCGGCAUCGGCCCCGCUGAGCCCUCCCCGGGGGCUAUGGGUGCGCCCCCGGGCUACCGACCCUCGGCUUGGGUGCAUCUGCUCCACCAGCUGCCCCGCGCCGACUUCCAGCUCCGCCCGGUACCCAGCGGUUUCGCGCCCCAAGAGCAAGAAUACCAGCAGGCCCUGUUGCUGGUGGUGGCCCUGGCAGGCCUGGGCUUGGGCCUGAGCCUCAUUUUCAUUGCCGUCUACCUCAUCCGCUUUUGCUGCUGCCGGACCCCAGAGCCCUCCGGGGCCAAGAGUCCCCCACCAGGGGGAGGCUGUGUCACAUGGAGCUGCAUUGCUGCCCUACUCGUCGGCUGCGCCGGCAUUGGCAUCGGUUUCUAUGGCAACAGCGAGACCAGUGAUGGGGUGUCCCAGCUCAGCUCCGCACUGCUGCAUGCCAACCACACGCUCAGCGCCAUAGACCACCUGGUGUUGGAGACAGUGGAGAGGCUGGGUGAGGCAGUGAGGACAGAGCUGACCACUCUGGAGGAGGUGCUUGCGCAGCGCACGGAGCUGGUGGCCGCUGCCCGGGGGGCUCGGCGACAGGCAGAGGCUGUGGCCCAGCAGCUCCAGGGGCUGGCCUUCUGGCGGGGAGUGCCCCUGAGCCUCCUGCAAGUGGCCGAAGAUGUGUCCUUUGUGGAGGAGUACAGAUGGCUGGCCUAUGUCCUCCUGCUGCUCCUGGAACUGCUGGUCUGCCUCUUCACCCUCCUGGGCCUGGCGAAGCAGAGCAAGUGGCUGGUGAUUGUGAUGACAGUGAUGAGUCUCCUGGUUCUUGUCCUGAGCUGGGGCUCCAUGGGCCUGGAGGCAGCUACAGCUGUGGGCCUCAGUGACUUCUGCUCCAGUCCUGACACCUACAUCCUGAACCUGACCCAGGAGGAGACUGGGCUUGGCUCAGACAUCCUGAACUAUUACUUCCUUUGCAACCAGGCAGUCUCCAACCCCUUUCAACAGAGGCUGACUCUGUCCCAGAGAGCUCUGGCCAACAUCCAUUCCCAGCUGCAGGGCCUUGAGCGAGAAGCGGUCCCCCAGUUCCCUUCUGCGCAGAAGCCACUGCUGUCCUUGGAGGAGACGCUGAAUGUGACAGAAGGAAACUUCCACCAGUUGGUGGCACUGGUGCACUGUCGUGGCCUGCACAAGGCUUGGAAGAUAAAGUGCAGAGGGCUGGGUCUCCCAGCUGGCCCUGGACCUCUCCCUCUGUGGCCUCCAUGGCCAGGCAGUCACCCAGUGUCAACCCACUCCCAUCCCAAGCCCCACUGCGCUCAGGCUUGUCUUCCCUGCAAGAGGAGGACACGUGCCUCCUCCCCCUUCUCGUCUGUCCCCCCCAAGGGCUCCAACAGAACUGCCAGAUUCAGCAAACAACAAAAACCUCUUUACCGUAGGAUUAUGGCGCUGCCCUGCGGGGCCUGUGUGAGGAUGCCCUGGAAGGCCUGCUCUUCCUGCUGCUCUACUCCCUCCUGUCUGCGGGGGCCCUAGCCACCACCCUCUGCAGCCUGCCCAGAGCCUGGGCCCUCUUCCCGCCCAGUGACGACUAUGAUGACACAGAUGAUGAUGACCCUUUCAACCCUCAGGAAUCCAAGCGCUUUGUGCAGUGGCAGUCAUCUAUCUGAGCCCCUCCUCUAUGCCAGACUGGAGCCUGUGCCCCCACCCCGUUCCUUCCCUGGCUGCCGGAGACUACCCCACUAACCCAGCCUGACUGGGCUCUCACCUCUAACAACACCUCUGGCCACGGACACCUACACAGGACACGGCCUCCCUGCUCUGCCCCCUGUACUCCCGCCCUUGGCCCUGGGAGUAAGCUAGGGGGUGGGCCAGGCCCUGGGGUUGGCAGGGAGGGGCAGCCAGCCAGCCCUGCACCCCUCACCCCUGGCCACCAGGCCCAUCCUUGAAGGGACAGGAGUGCCCCUGCCAUGCCCCAGGGCACUCAGGGCCGUGAUCUCAAUUUGCAGCACUAACUUGGGAAUGGGUUGAUUUGAAA